GGCCCCUCAGCAGGCUGCGGCUGACGCUCAGGUUGAGCGGAGCGCUGUCGCCUUGGCGAGAAGCAAAGCCAGUGCCGGUGCCUGCGCCUAUUUGGGCGU
rnacentral:ncRNA from 1 species